rnacentral:snRNA from 10 species
AUCUUUAUGCAGGGGCAUUACGUGUUUCAGUGAGGAUUCGUCCGAGAUCAUGUUUUUGCUGGUUGAAAACUAUACCUGACAACUCUUUGGAGGACGGGCUUGCCUGUUUGCCAAAGGAAUUUUUGGAUCACACAAUGCCUAGGUACUUCUUGAAGACCAGCUUUUCUAUUUGAGU